rnacentral:tRNA from 1 species
AGCAGUGUGGCUUAGUGGUUAGAGCACAGGCCUGGGAGUCAGAAGGACCUGGGCUCUAAUCCCAGCUCUUCCA